UGGCUCUUUGAAUUUUUUAUAUAAAGAGUCGAGCCUGCCCAGUGAUAAAAUUAUUUAACGGCCGCAGUAUUUUGACUGUGCAAAGGUAGCAUAAUCAUUUGCCCUAUAAUUGAGGGCUUGUAUGAAUGGUUUGACAAGAACAAAGCUGUCUCUAAUAGAUUCUUUUGAAAUUAACCUUUAGGUGAAGAGGCCUAAAUAAAACUAAAAGACGAGAAGACCCUAUCGAGCUUUUAAAAUUUACUAGAAAAACUAAUAAUAUUUUUGGUUGGGGCGACCGAGGAACAAAUAAAGCUUCCUUAAUUUUAAAAACUUGUAGGUAUUGAUCCAAUAAUAUUGAUUAAAAGAUAAGUUACCGUAGGGAUAACAGCGUAAUUUUCUUUAAGAGUUCACAUUAAAAAGAAAUUUUGCGACCUCGAUGUUGGACUAAAGUGUCCUAAAGAUGAAGAAGUCUUUGAGGGUUGGUCUGUU
rnacentral:rRNA from 1 species